rnacentral:lncRNA from 1 species
CUAUCUUCCUGCUUUGGCCUCCCAAAGUGCUAAGAUUACAGGUGUGAGCCACUGUGCCAGCCUGUUUAACUCUUAAGGGGAGGUGACUAAUGGGAGAAGGAGUGGUGGUGGUGGUGGGGUGUGAGAUAGUAUGAUACUGCGAAAGUCACAGGUGAAAUUUCUCUGGAAAUUUCUGUUGGAAGAUGGGGUUUGAUCAUACCUACCAGUUUGCCUGGACAUUCUGAUUCAUUCCAGGUGUUCUGGCAUAAUUAUUAAUACUGCCAACUUUCAUGCCGAAGAAAGUGCCAGUUUGGAGGUAAAUUAUCUGGUAACCAUUCCGCAGGGUUGUGAAAAUUAAUGAUAAAACUUGUAUAAACAUGCUCUGUGAAUUAUAAAGCACUGUACAAAUAAAAGGAAUUAAGGGACUUAAGUUCUUUUAUUGAAUUCUCCUGUUAGAGACAAACAAAUAUGUCUAAAAUUGUUAUCUACUUUGGUCUGUUAUUGGACUGAGAUCUGUUUGGAUUUCCAUGAAAAUAAACCUGCAAGAAAAUUAAUUUUAUUUUAAGGUAGCUUAGCAUGUGCUUAACCACUUUCUAGAUUCAAUUCCUUUCAGUGGUCUGUUCUGGAUUCUCACAUGUAUGCUAGAGGUUUUCUGCUGUUUUUGUUUUUUUCAAAUUUAUGAGUCCUUUCAAAUCUGGCAUUUUACAGUUUUGAUGGAUUUUGAAUAUGGGGGAUAUCCUAAUGCCCUAGGAAUUUUUAAAACCCGUUUCAGAAGGGAAAGAGUAUAAAACGAUUAUGUGUUAAGUAUUUACCAUAAAGAAGGCAGAGUAGAGUGUCCGCCCUUAAAGAGCUAGCAAUAACCAUGUCAUGUGUCCCUUAUAUCAAACCAUAUGGGAGAGGUUUAAUUGAUUUCCCUUUUCACAUGGAAGGGAAUUGAGGCACACAGAGGUUAGAUAACUUUGUUUACUGGCUACAGCCAGUAAAGAAUUAGGAUUUAAGGACAUCUAAUCUGAGCCAAAACCUGUUGAUCAUCCAUUCAGAAGUUACAAAUAUAUAUUGAAUUCCGACUCUAUGCCAGGCACUGUGUAUAUGAGUACACUGUGGUAAGUAAAACAGGUGUGGUCCUUAUUUCUAGUUUGGUGUCAUCAUUAUCAAUCAGGCCAUCAUCUAUUAAAUAGAUAUCCCAGAUGUUUUGUUAAGUGCUUUGCUUGCAUUAUCAAUUAAAAUUGUUACAACUGUGUAUUAUUAUUAUUAUUUCUAUCUUAUAGAUGGGGAGACUGUGGCUCAAUGAGGUCAAACAAUUUGCAGUCAGGGAGUAGGGAUGCUUUGAAUAUGGCCAUCAUCUCACUGGCUCACUGUGGUAAGUACCACAUGCAGGGACUGUGGGUAGGAGUGGGAGCUGGGCUGAGAGGAGCCUAGUGGGGAAAGCCUGGAGCAACCUGACCCUUAUGGAAUCAUUUUUAAAAUAAGGAAUAGGCUUUGGUCUUGGAAAAAAAGUGUUAAAAAUGUAAUCUCUUCACAAAUUCUUGUCAAAAAUAAUGAAGUACAAAACCAUUAAAAUUAAAAAAGGUAACAGUGAUUAUUAUAAUAAACAUUAUAUGGUAAGUAAUGGUAGGUAAUAAGUGAUAUAUUUAGGUUUACUUGAAGUAAACUUUAUGAGUAUGACUUGAGAGAAUGUCUGAACCCUGAUUAGUAUUCACUUGACCUAGUUCCAGUUUUUAUCUGCUGAAUGAAGAAUGUAUCCCUGGAACAUAGAUUUAUAGGUGCUUGCAUUUGAGGCAAAUUUGACAUACUUUGCCCCUCAGUAGUUUUAUUUAUUUAUUCAUUUUUGAGACAGAGUCUCACUCUGUUGCCCAGGCUGGAGUGCAGUGGCAUGAUCUCAGCUCAUUGCAUCCUCCGUUACCCACUUCAAGCGUUUCUCCUGCCUCAGCCUCCCCAGUAGCUGGGAUUACAGGCAUGUGCCACCAUGUCCAGCUAAUUUUUUUUUUUUUUUUUUAAGUAGAGACAGGGUUUCACCAUGUUGGCCAGGCUGGUCUUGAACUCCUGACCUCAAAUGAUCUGCCUGCCUCGGCCUCCCAAAAGUACUCCUUUUAAUAUAAUUGUAGAGAUGUGUAUUUCUUUUAGUUGCUUUUAGUCUUACCAGCAUCCUUUCUUUCCCCCUCUCCUGGUUUUAGAACCUCUGUUUUCUUUGGGAACCAAAAACCCUGACAUGAAUACAGCUAACCCCAUCUCUCAUUCCACAGUCAUAGGGAUUCUCUCAAUUCCCCUGCCACAGUGAUGAAUUCAGGGAUGGGCAUGGAUCCAAGAUGAGCAAAUUCAAGUACUCCCGGGACCUUUCUGUUGCAGUUAUCAGGAAAGAUGUUUCCUUCUGAUUGGGGUUUUCUCAGUUAGCUGGGCAUGAGUCUGGUACUGCUCAUGAUCACUCUGUCUAACCUAUGUACAGAUUAGUGUCCAAGAGAUACAGGACAGACUCUGAUGACAUCAUUUGAGCCCUGGAUGCCACUUUGCCUGAAUUCAGUUUAUCUUUAAACUUUGGUCAUGUGAACUUACAAAUCUGUUUUAUUUGUUUUUGCUGGAGCUUCUUCAAAUUGUGUUUCUGUUACUUGUAACUAAAACAAUUCCCAGUUUCAGCAAUAUUCCACUGAUGCUCUAACAAUUUAAAAAUAAAACAAGUAUGAGAUCACCCUUAUUCUUGCCAUUAUAUUAGAUAAAACUGUGGGCAUCCUAGUUUCUUCACUAAAAUAUUGGUUUUCUUUUUUUUUCCAUUUCUUCCUUAAGUUCUGGUGCAUUCAGGGUGGUACUCGUGUCUGAAUAAUUACUAGUUGUACUUUUGUAGGGGGAGUGAUGCCAGGAGGACUUCUGUUCCACCAUCUUGCUGAUGUUACUCUCCCUCACUAAAACAUUGUGUGUGCAACUAGGGUCAUCUGGGCAGCUGAAAAAAAAAGUCAAAGAAAAACUAAGGCCUUCCUUUCCUAUCACCCAUCAAUGUUGGCAGAGAUGGAAAAAACAGGCACCGUUUAGGUGCUGGGAAUGGAGCAGUGAACCACACUGACAACAACUCCCUGCCUUCAUAGAACCUGCCUUCUAGAAAGGGAAGACAGAGCAAAAGGCUAGGGAGAAGCUAAUGCAGUGACUUUUAAAAGCCGCCAGCUUAGCAUAAUGUUUCCUGGAUGAAUCAUCAGUAUUUAAAAUAAUUUGAAAUAAUGCAGCAAUUAAUAGAAAACACAAAAAUCUAUGUUCAUCAAGAUACGAAAUGAUACAAGACUCUUGAUAGGGAUCCAAACAGGAUUCCUGAUCAGCAACGAAAUGCCUAAAAAAUAAACUGGAUCAAAGCUAUACUCAACUUCAAGAUGACUGUUCACUGAGAAAUGUGAAAUUAAUAUGAAAUAUGAAAGAAAACUCUUACUAUGUAAAUGAAUCACAGAAUCCAAGAAAGAUGUGCCGGAUGGGAACUAGAGGUCAUCUAGAUUGCAUUCUGUCUAAUCAGAUCAUAUGAAGGUAAGAUUUCUGGGCUGAAGAGUUAAAAGUGUAUCCUUCUCACAUUAGAAGAGAGAAAUGGAAAGAAUCCAAGCUUUUUAUUCAAACAAGGCUGGAUUUAAAUUUUGAUGCUGCUUCUUAACUUUCUGUGUCCUUUGGGCAAAUUAUUUAACCUCUCUAAGAUUUAGAAAAGAAAGAUGGCAAUAGUGCCUACUUCUUAAAAUGGUUUUUAGAUUUAAAUGAGAAUGGGGAAGAUAGAUACGUAGGUAGGUAGAUAGAUGUAGAUACAUACGUACACAUAUUGCCGAAUACCUAAUAUGCAGCUUUUUAGCAUUAUUAUUAUCAAAGCCUCUUUUAUUCCUCAGUGGCCAUUGGCUAGAAAUAUUUUGAUAUCAUUUCUUUUGGGUUUAAAAGAGAAGGAAGAUAACCACUGAAAUCUCUUUGUCCUUUUUUAAAAAAAAGCAUGGUAAGCACAUUUAACAUGAGAUCUACCCUUUCAACAGACUUUUAACUGUGAAAUACAGUAUUUUUAACUACAGGACAAAUGUGCAAUGGAUCUCUAUAACUUACUUAUUUUGUGUAAGUUCCUGUUAACUAGCAACUCACCAUUUCCCCCUCUCUGCAGCCCCUGGCAACCACCACUGUGCUGUCUGCUUCUACAGGUUUGACUAUUUCAGAUUCCCCAGAGUCGUGUGUCUUCCAAUACUGAUAGAAUAGUAUUGAAGACCAUGGUAUAUUUUUUUAUGGACAAGAGUAUUGUGAUAUCAUCUCUUGCUGUCUAUUCUCCUUCAGCUUCUUCCCUUAGUUUUUCUUUUCCUAUAGCGCAGAAUCUCUUCUGUGUCCUUUCUCCAGUCUCAUUUUCUGUUGAAUGGCCUCUAUUCAGGAUUUGUUUCCGUAACACUACUGAAACCGUACUUCUCAGGGUCAUCAGUGAACUCCAUCUUGCUAAAUCUGGUGGCAAAUUUUUAUUCCUUUUAGUAUGUGAUAUAUUAGCACAAGAUGGUUUCCUUCUCCUGGAAGUUCUUUUUUCACUUAGCUUCUAGGACAUCACAUCUUUCUGGUCUUCUUUCCAUCUCACUGGCUGCUUCUUUUCAGGUCUCCUUUGUGGGGCCCUCCUUCUCUCUCCCAUCUAUAAAUGUCACAGUGCUUGGGUUUCAGCUCUUGUUCCUUGCUCCACCCACAUUCCCUCCUCAGUAAGCGCAUUAUCUUCCAUGGUGGGAAUACAGUCUAUAUGCUAAUUGGUCUCAAAUUCGUAUCUCCUACUCCGAUUUCUCCCUGAAGUUCAGGUCAUAAAUCCAACCGCCUCCUUUAUUACUAUCUGGAUGUCCAGUAGGCAUCUAAAAAUUAUCAUGUCCAAAACAAAACUCUUGUUUCCACUUCCUCAAAAAUCCACCCCUUCCCCAUGCUUCCCUGGUUUAUUAGAAGGCAACUCCAUUUUCCCCAAUCACCCUUGAAAUAAUCCAGAACUCUUCUCUUUACCUCAUACCCAUCAUCUACAGCAAGUCCUGUUGCCUCCACCUUCAAACUUGAUUUCCAGUCCAACCACUUCUCACCAUCUCUUAGCUCAGCCCACAGCACCUACACUGGACUGGAGUGUAAUGCCUGCAUUACUUUGUAGUCUCCUAAAUGAUCUCCUAGUUUAUAUAUUUGGCAGGUGCCAGAAUGAUCCUUUAAAACUCUAAAUUAGAUCAUAUUAUUACUCUGCUCAAAACCAUCUAAUGGCUUCUCAUCCCACUCAGAAUAAAACCUAAACUAUUUAUCAUGUUCUGCUUCUCCAGCAUCAUCUCCUAUCACUGCCGGCCUUACUUGCUUUUCUCCAGGCACACCAGCCUUCUUGCUGUGUCUCAGACACGACAGGCAUGUUCCUGCCUCAGAGCCUUUGCACCCACUCCUCCGUCUCCCUGGAAUAUUUUGCCGUCAGAUCUUUGCUUGGCAGCUGGCUCCCUCACUUAGUACUAGGUUCUCAUCUUUAAGUAUCACAUCUUCAGGGAGGGCUUCUCCAAUCCCCCUUUUUAUACUCUCACUCACUCUGAGCUAGGUGCUGUUCUAGGUGUUGGGGGAACAGCAGUGAAUAGAGAGCUCCUCCUCUCUGAGGUUUACCCCACCUCGUCCUAUCCCAUCCCAUCUCAUUGCUCUGCACCUAUUAAGUUCUUCUUUUAAUUUUUUUUCUCAUUGUACAUAUUAUUGCCUGGUACCUUUCCAUAUAUUUAUUUUCUUCUUUAUUUACAAUCUCUUCUCUGUUAGAAUGUAGGCUGAAUGAGGACAGGUACUGUUGUAUCCCUAGCCCCUAGAAUAGUGCUUGGCAGGUGGCAGGCACUCUAUAAGUGUUUCUGGAAUGAAUGAUUGUAGAAGUAGUUUGAUAAAUAGAAGUCUAUUGCAGGCAAUAGGCAGAGACUUCAUCUUGCCAUAUGUGACUUAGAAGGGAUGUGAGUAGAAUAUGAAUGAAUGUUUCAAGCUGAAGCCUACUUCAUGGAUGUCACUAGCAGUUCCUGAGUACAUCCUAGAUGUCCAUUCAGUGUUCUAUACUUUAUAGCUUUGAAUGAUGAUUUGGCUUUCAAAAGAUAUACAUGUCCAUCUUGAAUUUUUCGCAGUGAGUUUCGGUUGCAUAUGCCCCGGUUUAUUUGUGUAUGAUAUGUGCUGUGCCUGGCAUCUGCUCUGCUUUCUGGCCCUCUGUGUGCCUGUGCCCAGAGGACAUCUGAGAGUUAGUUGGCAUAUUAUAAGGUAGUAUCAGAAAACCUUUGCUCUGAGCCCUCUGACUGAUCCUAUUGGGGUUGAGAAACCUAUCAAGUACUGCUAAGCUGGCAGAAUGACAAAAUCAACUCACACAAGGAAAUAAAUCAGGCGCGGUGGGCAUGGAGAGCCUUGAGGACCAAUGGCAGAGGAAGACAGAGAUUAUGGCUCAUGGAUGGUAGAUGAUUGAGGACUGGAUAGAAACUGGGUUGUCCAGAAACACUAUGUCUUAGCCAGAGCUGGAACAUUGGCAUUUGAAGCUGAAGACUAGUCCUGGCACUUUCAAGCUCUAUCUGUGUUAGGAUUGGGGUCCUCUCCUCCAGUCACUUUUCUUUUUGUCCAUAAUGGAAGUUGCAAGUUGACACUUAUAAGCCCAGAGUUUUGAGAUGCUGGUGGGUGUGUUUUCUGGGCAGAGUACCUUUCCCCCAGUGCUCUCAGCCAGUCCAGAGGCAUCUCUCUGAUGAUGCAGGGUUGGGUAUGAUGUGCCUACACCUGCAAUGAGGCACCGGAAAUAUAGGCAUUAAGAGAGGAGAUUUCCAUGAGAGUCAUAGAAAAGAAACUUGCCAUUCAAAGUGGCUUUUUGACUUCACUGUUUCCAGGAAGUGCUAUCUCUGACAGGAAUUAUUUCCUUGCUUUCUGCCAGUGAUCGUGCAUGUUUUUGGCAAUGUGAAAUGUGGGUGCUUGGAGGAGAAAUGCACAAAUAAAAGGAGAGGAAGGGAGAUAAAGUAAAGGCAUCAUUGUUGUUCAGUUCUUCAGAAAGAUUAUCCAUCCUCUCUAACAGUGUCUUUUUUUCCUUAGUGUCACAGAGUGAAAAGAGCAAAAACUUUGGAAUUAGACACAUUUGUGCUUAAAUCCUGGAUAUUUCAGUUAUGGUGUUGGCUUAGGCAAAAAAUCUUAAUUUCUCAAAUCUUAGGUUAUUAAUCUGUAAAACUGGAUAAAUAAUAUCUAUGAUAUAGGGUUGUUUUGAGUCUUAAGUGAAAUAGGUGCAAAGUACAAAGCAUAGGGCCCGAAAGAUUCCUCUAUAAAUAGUAACUUUAAAAAGGGGAGUCAGGAGAGAAAAUACCGCAUCAGAUAUGAACGACCUGGGCUUCACUUAUUAAUUUAUUGAGCAAAUUGUUAAACUGAGCAUCUUCUUUGAAUCUAGAAACGGGUGAUAUGAUGGGCAAGAUAGAUAUGCCUCCUUAGAGGCAAAAGGUGCAGACAGGUAAAAACACAUGCAAAUGUAAAAAUAUAAGAGAAGUGCUAAGCAUGAUAAGUGUCACUAUGAAAGGAAGAGAAGAAGGAAAGGGGAAACUGCUUUAUAUAGAGUGAUCAGGGAAGGCUUCCUGGAGGAGGUGAUGUACAAGCUGAGAAAGAAGAAUAUGAAGGAGCCAGACAUGUGAAGGCUGGAGGGAAGGGUUCCAGGUAGAAGAAAGGAUGUUAGCAAAUGUUUGAGGCCAAACAAAACUUGGUGUGUUUGAGGUACUGAAUACCAGAGUGGCUGAGAUGAGAGACCAGUGCCAGAACACGAGAGACACAUAGGAUGAAAGGACUGGCAGUUAUUCCUGGGGAAAGUCUCUCUUGAGAACCUGUCACAAGAACAUGCCAUGUUGUAAGAAGGUUUCUCCCUUUGGUUAUUAGUCUUCCCCCAACAGUCUUGGAAGUAAAAUGAAGCUAUUUUGUUGUAAUGCAAUAGUUUGCCUAUAUUGGAAUCAUUAGCAUUCGAUCAUAUCUUAGUGUUGCUCUGUGAGAGGAUGGUGCAUUAUGGUGAAUUAUCUGCUGUUCUCCACAGGAGCCAAAGCUGUCUUCCUGUUAGCUCCAGAGUAAAAGUAGCCUGCAGCCCACACCCUGGGGUCUGAUGAAAGGACUCACACUCCAGUCUGCAUUCCUGCUGCACCUGCCAGACCCUGCUGACAAAAUUUCUGUUUCUCCAUUGACCAAAUAAAACUGCAGUGUGGCCCCUUGGAGGGUUCCAGGAAAACUGAAGCUCCACUUCUCGUUUUUUAAGUUAGCCUGCUGCCACCUGGAGCUGAAAGCUGUAAUCCCCACUCACCCUGGUGGGGACCUGACCUCUCUCCCACUGGAACCAGGUUGGUGGGAAGUAGCAAGAGAACUUGAUUUCACUCCUAUUUAGAGAGUCUAUGUUCUCUGCUUCUGGUCUCACCUUCAAAAUUAGGGCAGUGGUCUUUGAUAGGAUGAUAACAGCAAGACAGGAGAGGUAGGCAUCGGCCAAACCAUGCCACUGAAUGACAUAACAGCUGAAUGACCUCUAGCAAAUUAUUUAUCUUCUCCAGACACUUUUUUUUGUCCCUAAAAAUAGGAACAACAUUAUCUAUCUCUUAGUGUUGUGGGGGAAGAUAUGAGUACAAAAAGCAAUUGGCAUGCUAGGUGUUAAUUUAUUCUUUCUUCCCUUUUUCUCUUCCCUUCCCUUCUCUGGUCAGUGAGUGCUUCUCCCUCUUUUCUGUCUCUUAUUAUUGAAUAUCUCAUCUUUCGUAUGUGAUGUGGUGGUGAAUCCCAGGUGGGCAUUCUCACCACUUGUUAUAUCAUGGCCAAGUGCUUGGAGAAAGAUGUGAUCACAAUAUUGAAAAUUAAGUCAUUUAGAGUCAAUUUCACUUAAUUAUGCUCUCUCUCUCUGCCCCAACAUCCACCAGGCCUGCUCUCAAUGUGCAAUGUUGCUUCAUUUGGUAGUAUCCUUGGAAAAUGAGGGGUUUCAUAUAAAUGAGUUUUUAGAGCUUUUUCAAGAAAAAUUAAGCCCAUCUUUUUGUGGCAAAUUGUAGCAGGCCUUCUCUUAGGCCCAAAGGCACAGUAGCAAAUACAAUGUGUAAGUGGUAAUGGUGCUGAUGCAAGAAUUUUCUUAGAUCAGAAAGUCCCACCUGGGGAGAUUUUAACAUCUUUCACACUCAGGCCAUACCUCGGGCCAAUUACAUCAGAAUCUCUAGGGGUGGGAUCCAGGCAUCAGUAUUUUUUAAAGCUUCCAGGUGAUUCGAAUGUGCAACCAAAGAUGCGGAACCACUGCUAUUCAGUUUCUUAACGCUCGAAACCUCUGAAUGUGUCUAUGUUUCUAUGAAUUAAAAAAGAACACUAUAAUCAUGUGUUUGCUGCAGGGCAACAUUAUGGCCCACAGGGAUGGGGGUGAAUGAAGCCUCAGUCAGAAGCAGACACAUCUUUAUGGAAAUGACCAUGAGAGGCCAGCUCUGGCAAGGCAUGAGUAUUGGCCACCACAGCUGAUAGCCAUGUGCCCAUAACAAACAGUGGAAUUGUGCCAGUUUUCAAAGGGAAUUCUUACAACCAUUGUGGAAGACAGUGUGGUGAUUCCUCAAGGAUCUAGAAC